rnacentral:rRNA from 1 species
AUUGAACGCUGGCGGCAGGCCUAACACAUGCAAGUCGAGCGGAGCGGCGGACGGGUGAGUAAUGCCUAGGAAUCUGCCUGGUCGUGGGGGAUAACGUCCGGAAACGAGCGCUAAUACCGCAUACUCUCAGAUGAGCCUAGGUCGGAUUAGCUCGUUGGUGGUGUAAAGGCUUCCCAAGUCGACGAUCCGUAACUGGUCUGAGGGGAUGAUCAGUCACACUGGAACUGAGACACGGUCCAGAGUCCUACGGGAGGCAGCAGUGGGGAAUAUUGGCCAAUGGGCUAAAGCCUGAUCCAGCGAUGCCGCGUGUGUGAAGAAGGUCUUCGGAUUGUAAAGCACUUUAAGUUGGGAGGCGUUACCAACAGAAUAAGCACCGGCUAACUUCGUGCCAGCAGCCGCGGUAAUAC